UGGACCUGCCCUCGGCCCCGCAGCGCAUCCGGUAAGGAGCCCCGAAAAGCCCCGAAGUCACCCCAAAAACAUCCCCAAAAAAACCAAAAACAUCCCCAAAAAAAUCCCCCAAAAAACCCCAAAAUCACCCCAAAAAUCCCCAAGGUCACCCCAAAAACAUCCGCAAAAAAAACCCAAAAAACCUCCGAAGUCACCCCAAAAACACCCCCAAAAAAACCCCAAAAAAAUCCCUAAAAAAAUCCCCAAAAAAACCCCAAAAACAUCCCCAAAAAAACCCAAAAACAUCCCCAAAAACAUCCCCAAAAAAACCCAAAAAAAUCCCCGAAAAAAUCCCCAAGAACCCCCGAAGUCACCCCAAAAACAUCCCCCAAAAAACCCAAAAAAAUCCCCCAAAAAAUCCCCAUUGACCCCCGAAGUCACCACAAAAAUAUCCCCAAAAAACCCCCGAAGUCACCCCAAAAUCAUCCCCAAAAAACCCAAAAACCCCCGAAGUCACCCCAAAAACAUCCCCAAAAAAACCCCAAAAAAACCCCAAAAUCACCCCAAAAAACCACCCAGAAAAACCCCAAAAACACCCCAAAAAUCCCCCAAAAAAACCCCCAAAAAAACCCCCAAAAAAUCCCCAAAGUCACCCCAAAAACAUCCCCAAAAAAACCCAAAAAACAUCCCUAAAAAAACCCAAAAACAUCCCCAAAAAACCCCCCAAAAAUCCCCAAGGUCGCCCCAAAAAUCCCCAAAGUCACCCNNNNNNNNNNGGGGUGACCUUGGGGAUUUUUGGGGUGAUUUUGGGGUUUUUUGGGGGGCUGGACCUGCCCUCGGCCCCGCAGCGCAUCCGGUAAGGAGCCCCGAAAAGCCCCGAAGUCACCCCAAAAACAUCCCCAAAAAAACCAAAAACAUCCCCAAAAAAAUCCCCCAAAAAACCCCAAAAUCACCCCAAAAAUCCCCAAGGUCACCCCAAAAACAUCCGCAAAAAAAACCCAAAAAACCUCCGAAGUCACCCCAAAAACACCCCCAAAAAAACCCCAAAAAAAUCCCUAAAAAAAUCCCCAAAAAAACCCCAAAAACAUCCCCAAAAAAACCCAAAAACAUCCCCAAAAACAUCCCCAAAAAAACCCAAAAAAAUCCCCGAAAAAAUCCCCAAGAACCCCCGAAGUCACCCCAAAAACAUCCCCCAAAAAACCCAAAAAAAUCCCCCAAAAAAUCCCCAUUGACCCCCGAAGUCACCACAAAAAUAUCCCCAAAAAACCCCCGAAGUCACCCCAAAAUCAUCCCCAAAAAACCCAAAAACCCCCGAAGUCACCCCAAAAACAUCCCCAAAAAAACCCCAAAAAAACCCCAAAAUCACCCCAAAAAACCACCCAGAAAAACCCCAAAAACACCCCAAAAAUCCCCCAAAAAAACCCCCAAAAAAACCCCCAAAAAAUCCCCAAAGUCACCCCAAAAACAUCCCCAAAAAAACCCAAAAAACAUCCCUAAAAAAACCCAAAAACAUCCCCAAAAAACCCCCCAAAAAUCCCCAAGGUCGCCCC
rnacentral:lncRNA from 1 species